rnacentral:rRNA from 1 species
CCUACGGGAGGCAGCAGUGGGGAAUAUUGGGCAAUGGGCGCAAGCCUGACCCAGCAACGCCGCGUGAAGGAAGAAGGCUCUCGGGUUGUAAACUUCUUUUAUCAGGGACGAAGCAAGUGACGGUACCUGAUGAAUAAGCCACGGCUAACUACGGGCCAGCAGCCGCUGUAAUACGUAGGUGGCAAGCGUUAUCCGGAGUUACUGGGUGUAAAGGGCGUGUAGGCGGGAAAGCAAGUCAGAUGUGAAAACCAUGGGCUCAACCUGUGGCCUGCAUUUGAAACUGUUUUUCUUGAGUACUGGAGAGGCAGACGGAAUUCCUAGUGUAGCGGUGAAAUGCGUAGAUAUUAGGAGGAACACCAGUGGCGAAGGCGGUCUGCUGGACAGCAACUGACGCUGAGGCGCGAAAGCGUGGGGAGCAAACAGGAUUAGAUACCCGGGUAGUC